ensembl:lncRNA
GUGGGUGUCACGCUGUGGUUCACUUCAUGUUAUAUUUUGUAGUUUUCUGCCACUCGUGUCCCCGGGUAACUUCACUUCCUGCCUUGUCAUGUCAUCCCCUGUGUGCAACAGCGACUCCGGGGGCUUCCCGCUCCCUCCAGCUGGCAACUCCGGCUUCCUGCAUCCUCACGCCGACAACCGCGGUGGUGUUCCGUGUCCCCGAGCUGGAGCCGCCGCCGACUACUGCGGACGUGUUCCGUGUCCCCGAGCUGGAGCCGACUGCGGACGUGUUCCGUGUCCCCGAGCUGGAGCCGACUGCGGAGGUGUUCCGUGUCCCCGAGCUGGAGCCGACCGCGGAGGUGUUCCGUGUCCCCGAGCUGGAGCCGACCGCGGAGGUGUUCCGUGUCCCCGAGCUGGAGCCGACCGCGCCGGUGUUCCGUGCCCCCGAGCUACCGACGACCCCGGACGUGUUCCGUGUCCCCGAGCUGGAGCCGCCGCAGACUACUGCGGACGUGUUCAGUGUCCCCGAGCCGCCACCGCCGCAGACUACUGCGGACGUAUUCAGUGUCCCCGAGCCGCCACCGACGACCGCGCCCGUGUUCCGUGCCCGCGAGCUGCCACCGACGACCGCGCCCCGUGUUUCCGUGCCCCGGAGCCGCCACCGACGACCGCGCCCGUGUUCCGUGCCCCCGAGCCGCCAUCGACGACCGCGCCCGUGUUCCGGGCCCCCGAGCCACCGAGGACCCCGGAGGUUUCCCGUGUCUCCGAGCCACCCAUUCCAGAGACGUUCCCUGCCCUGCAGGUCGGCGCUCCGGAGCCGGCCUGGUGACCGUCCGCCGGGCCGACCCCCAGAGGCUCCCCGCUCGUCUGGCCGCCCGCCGGGCCGCCCGCCAGAGUUUCCCGGGUGGUCCGACCAACGUCUCUGAUGUGAGCCGUCUGGAAUUUGGC